rnacentral:misc_RNA from 1 species
UGCAGCCUGUCUCGCUCCAGACGAGCUCGUCGCUCGCUCCGGGCGGUCCGUAAUUAUAGUCUCCCGGGAAGAGCUUGCGCUCGUCGAUCCAGAGCUCGCCGUCGAGGAGAUGCAGCUCUUCGACGCCCGCAUGCGUGUGCGGAGGAUAGCUGGCGCCGGGCGCGAGGCGCACCAGCAUGCUGACCCGGUGCCCUCCCGUGUCGGUCGACAGCAGCUUGCACUCGAUGCCGGGGGCAACCUGCUCCCACUCAGGCUCCGACCAGCGCCACGCCGGCGGCAGCACCGGCUCCUUUCCCGUCUCCUUGGCAAUGCGAAGCGCCAGUCGGGCGCGAAUCGAUGCGGUCGGGCGCAGCACAUCGCUGGGCCAGGAGACGAACCGAU